GAUGAAGAACGUAGCGAAAUGCGAUACUUGGUGUGAAUUGCAGAAUCCCGUGAACCAUCGAGUCUUUGAACGCAAGUUGCGCCCGAAGCCAUCAGGUUGAGGGCACGUCUGCCUGGGCGUCACAUAUCGUUGCCCAAUGCCUAUUGCAGUGCAAUAGGAAUUUCUAGGGCGAAUGAUGGCUUCCCGUGAGCGUUGUUGCCUCGCAGUUGGUUGAAAAUCGAGUCCUUGGUAGGGUGUGCCAUGGUAGAUGGUGGUCGAGUUAGAACGAUACCGAUCAUGUGCAUGCUCCCCAAAAUAUGGCCUCUAUGACCCACACGCGUCUUUUGACGCUCAUGACGAGACCUCAGGUCAGGCGGGGCUACCCGCUGAAUUUAAGCAUAUCAAUAAGCGGAGGA
rnacentral:misc_RNA from 1 species